AUUGAACGCUGGCGGCAUGCCUUACACAUGCAAGUCGAACGGUAACGUGGGGCAACCUGGCGACGAGUGGCGAACGGGUGAGUAAUGCAUCGGAACGUGCCCAUCAGUGGGGGAUAGCCCGGCGAAAGCCGGAUUAAUACCGCAUACGACCUGAGGGAGAAAGCGGGGGACCGUAAGGCCUCGCGCUGAUGGAGCGGCCGAUGUCGGAUUAGCUAGUUGGUGGGGUAAAGGCUUACCAAGGCAACGAUCCGUAGCUGGUCUGAGAGGACGACCAGCCACACUGGGACUGAGACACGGCCCAGACUCCUACGGGAGGCAGCAGUGGGGAAUUUUGGACAAUGGGCGCAAGCCUGAUCCAGCCAUGCCGCGUGCGGGAAGAAGGCCUUCGGGUUGUAAACCGCUUUUGUCAGGGAAGAAACGGUCUGAACUAAUACUUUGGGCUAAUGACGGUACCUGAAGAAUAAGCACCGGCUAACUACGUGCCAGCCGCCGCAGUAAGAC
rnacentral:rRNA from 1 species